AUGCAUACACAGUACCACCCUUCACACUCACGCUGCAUACACCCACUUACAUGCACACACAGUCUCGCCCACAGUGACACACGCACACACACACUGCAUACACUCACCGGCACACACAAUCACCCACAGACCCACACAGUGACACACUCGGCACGGACACACAGCAACACGCACUCACAUUCACACACCUGCAGAGGAAACUUCUCUCCGGAUCUCCCCAACACCACGACUUCCCCCCACAACCAGCGGGUUACUCCCUUCCAGACCCGAGCCUCCAGCCGGGCGAGGGCUGGGCCGGGGCUGGCGGGCCCCCGCGACCCUGACCGGGAGAGUGGGUCCGCGAUCCGCGUGGUCCCCCGCUCGCCCCUCAGGUCGGGCCAGCUGGCAGCUAGGCCGGGGCGAGGGCGGGGGCGGCCGAGGAGGCCCAGCCCCUCCCCCUUCCCGGGGCCGCUAGCCGAGGCCGCCGGAGCCCGAGGCGUGGGCGGCGCCGGGGCCGCAGCCGGGCCGAGCCUGGGGGGCGCUGCAGAGGGCGCCGCGAGCGCGGCCCCGUCCCCUCAUCUCCCCACGGCUUACCUGGCCCGGCUCGGGCUCCGGCCGGGUUACAUGGUGCCGGCGGCCCGGGCCGAGGGCGCUGCGGCGUUGGGCGGGCGAGCGGGCGGGCAGGGACCAGGGCCCGGCACUGCGGAGCCCCCAGCGGAGGGGCCGCGCCGGCUGCGGAGCCCCGAGCGAGCGCCGAGCGGCAGCGGGCGCGGGAGCGGGAGGCGGCCAAGCCACGGAGGCUGGAUUUCCCGGGGACCGGGAAGGGGAGGCGGGGGGAUCCCGCCCGCGCGCUCCGCCCCCGCCCCCGCCCCCGCCCCCGCGCAGGGCGGCCGAGCAGCGAGAGGGAGAGGAAGAGGGAGGGGGACUGAGCUCCCCGCCCCCGCGCGGACCCAGGAGGGCCGAGGUCGCCACCCGCGAGCGGCUGCCGGGGUCCCAGAGGAGCGCCCACCUGGCGGAACGACGGCGCUGGGGGCGCCCAGCCUGGGGGCACCAGUGAGAUCCCCCCUCCCCGGGGACCCAGGAACAGGCACCUAA
rnacentral:lncRNA from 1 species